AGUCAAGGUCCGGAGUCGCUGGGUUAUCUGUCACAUACUCCCAUAGACAUCAACUUGACCUGGC
rnacentral:sRNA from 1 species